GACGUAGGGCGCGAGCGUUGUCCGGAUUUAUUGGGCGUAAAGAGCUCGUAGGCGGUUUGUCGCGUCUGCUGUGAAAACUCGGGGCUUAACCCCGGGCCUGCAGUGGGUACGGGCAGACUAGAGUGCGGUAGGGGAGAUCGGAAUUCCUGGUGUAGCGGUGAAAUGCGCAGAUAUCAGGAGGAACACCGGUGGCGGAGGCGGAUCUCUGGGCCGUAACUGACGCUGAGGAGCGAAAGCAUGGGGAGCGAACAGG
rnacentral:rRNA from 1 species